rnacentral:rRNA from 1 species
UACGUAGGGCGCAAGCGUUGUCCGGAAUUAUUGGGCGUAAAGAGCUCGUAGGCGGCCUGUUACGUCUGCUGUGAAAUCCCGGGGCUUAACCCCGGGCGUGCAGUGGAUACGGGCAGGCUGGAGGCAGGCAGGGGAGAACGGAAUUCCCGGUGUAGUGGUGAAAUGCGUAGAUAUCGGGAGGAACACCAGUGGCGAAGGCGACUUCCUGGCCUGUUCUUGACGCUGAGGCGCGAAAGCUAGGGUAGCAAACGGG